GUGCACAACACAACAGAUAAGAAAAGAGGGCAAACUUCAUGGCCCGGGUCCGCAGUUCCCCUAGGUCUGGGGACAGAGGUGACUCCGUGUCUCCAGUGACCAUCGAGCAUCAGCGGCUCCCUGAUUCCUAUCUCUGUGGUGGUACUUCAAGCUCCAGGAGAACUGGAGGCGGCGGCGGUGAGGCGCAUGUUGGAAAGGAGGCUCCAAACGUGUGUUUAGACACCGUGAAGUGGUCAAACUGUUCCAAAGUGGGCAAAAUAGAUUCGUUUAAAGAGACAGCACUUAGCCAAUAAUCCCAAAUAAUGAUGAUAGUCUGCCAAGCUAUCAAAUCAUUAUUAGAAAUACAAAACCAAAGCAUAAGUAAUCAUAAAACCAGAAAUAAAUUAAUAGAUUUUAAAGCCCCCACAAAAAGCCAUAAAGUGGAUGUCAGAAUGGAUAUACAAAAACACUCAGAAUGGCCGUUGGAGGGACCCCGUGCUGAGAAGAAGCGGGAUGGCCUUCCUGUGCUCCUCCCCAGAGGAGGGGCUGGUUUCCCCAGCAAAAAGGUUCACCUGCUCCCAGGCUGCUUUCCAGCCUCACCUGCGAGGUUUGGGAAUCUGGGCCAUUUGAGCAAUGGGGGCGGUAUCCCCGGAAGGAUGUUGGGCGCGAUUGCCUGGGUCUCUCACCUCCCCACUGCAUCCACCCACCCUCUGCCCACUCUAAGGGGCACGAGGCUGUGAAGGGCCCUCCAGGAGGCCGCAGAGGCCAAGCUAGAACUUCCACCAAGGCCUGGGGUCGGUGGAGUCUGACAGACAUACUCCGGCAUGACAGUGAAUGUUUGAAACACCUGUGCUAGACCUCUUUAGGUGGAAUUUUCCCUGAAAAAAUGCCGAUGUUGCAUAGAGCCUCAACUGUGACAUCUUUUUUUUCCUUAAGCAAAUGUAUAUUUUCAUUUUGAGUAUUUGAUAAGAUUUAGAGUCCAUGGACACCUUUCUGGUAUUUGUGAGGUUUUCCCCUUCUUGAAAAUUGAUGGUCUGGUAGAAAUUAGAUAAGGUGUCCAAUGGAGCUCACAGCAUUGCAGCCUCCCGGGUUAGCUGUUGCCCGAUGGUUCUGUGAGAUGCCACCACUGAAGACCCGGAAGUGGAGACACAGGACUCUAUGCACUAUUUGUGCAACUUCCUAGGAAUCUAUAAUUAUUUCAAAUUUAAAAGUUUUUUCUAAUCUGUGGUCUAAUAAAAAACACAAAAGUAUCUUUCAGCUUUG
rnacentral:lncRNA from 10 species